UACGUAGGGCGCAAGCGUUGUCCGGAAUUAUUGGGCGUAAAGAGCGUGUAGGCGGUUCGGUAAGUCUGCCGUGAAAACCUGGGGCUCAACCCCAGGCGUGCGGUGGAUACUGCCGGACUAGAGUUCGGAAGAGGCGAGUGGAAUUCCCGGUGUAGCGGUGAAAUGCGCAGAUAUCAGGAAGAACACCCGUGGCGAAGGCGGCUCUCUGGGACGGUACUGACGCUGAGACGCGAAAGCGUGGGGAGCGAACAGG
rnacentral:rRNA from 1 species